rnacentral:rRNA from 1 species
UACAGGGGGGGCAAGCGUUGUUCGGAAUUACUGGGCGUAAAGGGCUUGUAGGUGGCCAACUAAGUCACACGUGAAAUCCCCAGGCUUAACCUGGGAACUGCGUGUGAUACUGGAUGGCUUGAAUCCGGGAGAGGGAUGCGGAAUUCCAGGUGUAGCGGUGAAAUGCGCAGAUAUCAGGAAGAACACCCGUGGCGAAGGCGGCUCUCUGGGACGGUACUGACGCUGAGACGCGAAAGCGUGGGGAGCGAACAGG